rnacentral:lncRNA from 1 species
AACAAAGUCGGAAUACCCACAUAUCAUGUUCUUCUCCACUUAAUAAGCAGUUGAUAUAAUUUUCAACUGCUUUACAUAAGAAGCGUUUACGAUCCUCUUUCAGUGCACGCAGGGCUAAUUCAUCCAACUCCAGCUCUCGCUGAACCUUUACUGUGUAUCUGUUUGUCUGAAUUUUAUGUUCCCUAAGGAGACCUACUUCCUCUUUGGCUCUUUUCAGGAGAGCUUGCUUGUUUUCAAAUUCCGAUGAUUUCAUGUAGUUUUCAA